ACUCCUACGGGAGGCAGCAGUGGGGAAUUUUGGACAAUGGGCGAAAGCCUGAUCCAGCAAUGCCGCGUGUGUGAAGAAGGCCUUCGGGUUGUAAAGCACUUUUGUCCGGAAAGAAAUGGCUCUGGUUAAUACCUGGGGUCGAUGACGGUACCGGAAGAAUAAGGACCGGCUAACUACGUGCCAGCAGCCGCGGUAAU
rnacentral:rRNA from 2 species